ACUCCUACGGGAGGCAGCAGUGGGAAUAUUGCACAAUGGGAAGCCAUCGAUGCAGCCAUGCCGCGCUGUGUGAAGAAGGCCAAUUCGGGCUUGGUUAAAGACACUUUCAGCGAGGAGGAAAGGGUGUGUGCUAAUACCAUACAUCUGUGACGUUACUCGCAGAAGAAGCACCGGCUAACUCCGUGCCAGCAGCCGCGGUAAUACGGAGGGUGCGAGCGUUAAUCGGAAUUACUGGGCGUAAAGCGCAUGCAGGUGGUUUGUUAAGUCAGAUGUGAAAGCCCGGGGCUCAAGCCUCGG
rnacentral:rRNA from 1 species